GGGGCCGUCAAGGUUUCGACAGCAGGUGCAUUGAUAUGUAAGCAUGCAGGGUGUUGCGAUAUUAACCCUUCAAAACAAUACGCGCGCCUAUAACUGGCGAAAACAACUACGCUCUUGCUGCUUAAUCGAUAGAUUAACAGUAGGUUGUCUUUAGGGGGAGUUUUCUCAAGUCGCCCCCGGUAAGGCAUCGUAAAGUUUGAGAUAGCCCUUUCAGGUUCCUGAUGUGAUGGCGAAAAUUAAAUAGGAAUAAGGUAGCGGCUGGUUUGUUCCGAUCCUGCAACUGCCCGACAAUCAAUCCGGAAAUAAGCAUGUAGAAAGCCUAUGAAUUCCUUGUUUGGACGCGGGUUCGACUCCCGCCGGCUCCACAA
rnacentral:tmRNA from 1 species